CUGGAGAUCUGCUCUGCUGGAGUUUUGUAAGUGAGCCCAGGAUAUGGGUUGGCCUGGACUUUUUCAUCUUGCAGCAUGCAGUGGAAGACAAUAAAGCACUUUGAGGAAUGAUAAUCUUCUCUCUCAGUGGUUAGGAAGCAGAGCUUGGGCUUACCAGAAUACAGAAGUUAUCCUUUGGACGAAAGAGACUUAGAUAUCCUAGCACACAGCUGUGGCCAGACACCACUGAGUCCUCUGCUGAGUCCUCUGGGACCACAGAGAAUGAGGACAGAAAAAUUAGCAAAGAUGAACUGCUUCCUUCUGGCUUAGCAACUAACGCUUUUGAACCAGUUCCCAAAGUAAGUUCUGCUGGAUCUUAACACUAUUUUCUCUGAUUAAGGGACUAAGAGUUUUGUGUGCCAGAGAACUGAGGUGAUGUGAGAAGUAUAGAGUGUUCAGGAGUGCUGAACUCUUUUUUUAAUCAUGAAUUAUGCAAACAGAUGUUACAAAAGGGAAAUUAAGCUAGUGCCAGUAUCCUCAUUUGUCAUAUGUAUUCUAUAUUGAGCGAAGGCAAACUUGCAUAUGACAGCUGGGAUGUUCUUAUAUGUCAUACACAGAACAUGUAAUCUUCAUAUAUGAAGUUUGACCAAUUUGCCUCUUCUUCCAUAGAACAGAAUUUGCAAAGCCUGAUAAGCAGCAUUCAGACUAUAACAGCAAGCUACAGACAGAUAGGAAAGGCUUGUGUAUAUAUGUGUAGUAAUUUCUGCAAAGAUAUAUUGCUAACUAACAGCAUUUCAUAAAAUCCCCUGCUUGAAAAGAGCACUGAGGUACAACCAGGUUCAAAAUCCUCUGCAUUUAUCAAGAGUGAGAGGACCUGGAAGAUCUGGAAAAUAUAUUUGCAUAUAUGAUGUACAUGGCUGAUAGAAAAAUAUAUAUUACCCUUGGUAAAUAACAGAAAUAAUGUUCGCUUAUAAAAUCAGCAGAGCCUUCAAGAUGCAACUUAACUCUCAGCAGAUUAGAAAGGAGAUUUUCUCUUUAGCAACCUAGAAUACUAUUCCGACAAAACAGAUUAUUUUACUACUUUAGAAUCUAAUUGUGGCAUUGUAGUGGAUUGGUUUGUUGUUGUUUUUUAUUUGUUUGUUUGCUUUCAUAAGCAAAAAGUGAAAUAUCUCAAUAAUAAUUAACAUCAAACAUUAAUUGCCAGGGAAGAUAUAUAAAUAACUGUUAUUUGAUCCACUUUUGCACUAUGCGUCUCAAGAAAAUUGCUCAAGUCUGGAUUUGUGUUUGAUGCCAACUACAUAAAUCAUUGUGAAAACAACACUACAAAAAAUUUUUUAAAAACUUAGUUUUUCAUAUCAUAUGGUCUAUUAAUGUGGCUUCAGAUUUAAAUGUUAAAAAUAGCUGUACCAUUCAUCAGAGAAUAAAAGGGAAAGUCUAUUUUUUUUUUUUAAUUUUUUUCUGCAUUGGCUUGGAGUCCAUCCACAUUUUCUUCCAAGCAUUUUCCUCUGGGUUAUGCUCAGGAACACAAGUUUUGCAUUCAAGUUCUUUAGAAGCAUACAUUCCCUUUUCUAUCAAGUUUUUGCUUUCCCAGUAAGAAAAUUGUUGCAAUGUUCCUACCACAGUGAAUUUAUCUGAACAGAUGACUACUUGUGCUCAGUUUUAUGUGAGACUGUGACAUUGUGAAUUUUUGAUUGAUUAAUUUUCUAGCAAGAAGCUUUUCAACAGUUUUGGAUUAAAAGGAUCAUGGUUGGAUUGGUUUCUAACAGCCAUGAACUUUAUUAAAUAUUUUUCCUUCUACAUUCUUCUUUUAUUCUACUUUUACAUUCUACUUUUCUGCAAGAAAUUUUAAUAAUUUAAUAUGGAGACUUUUUCCUGGCUUUAACUUCUCCUGCUAUUCUUUCUCUCAACUAAGAUGUUUCUGCUCCGUGUCCAUAUACUUGUACUCAUU